CAUUUUUAAAUGGCGGCAAGUUCGAAAUUUUGAAAAUUGCACAUGGUCAUGGUUCAAAAAUAUUAUUUUCCUGCAAGUCUUCACUGUAUUGAAUUUUUAAACCGUUCCCAUGGAAUUGCGGAACACUCCGGAUGAUUGUACGGCGGUGUCACAGGUUGAGCAGCAGAAUGAAAGCCUUUGCGAGGCGGUUGAAUGUUGACGAAACGCCCUCGUGGCCUCGUCGAAGUUUUGCUCAACUUUGAAGGCGGAAACAAAUAGCUAAAGCAGCGAGACGGACUACUCGUUCGCUCGAAGUUCGAUAUAGAAUACCCAGCCUGAUAGAUUAUGGUUAUUGUGGGCUGCCUGAUAUUCUGCAAAGUGUAAUGCAAGAAUAUUUGAAGAAUUUAACUGCAGAGGAAAGACAGCCAUCUAUUUUUGAACUGCCAAAAUUGCCUCACUCAGGUAUGAACAUGUAUAAAUAUGUUAAUUUUCUUAAUGCAUAUCACUUGCCAAGUCAAAUUUUUUUCGCUUGCCAUUUCUGAAAUAUGCGGUUUAUGUUUCGAGCCCUGUGACAGUCUACCUGUAUAUUAUUUUUCAUUACUAUGUUUAGGUAAACAUUGAAGAUUAUGUUCUCGGACAAGACGGUGGGUACAAGCCGAGGAAAGCGCAUCAAAUUUGAAACAGGAAAACUAACCUCACAUGUAUGUUAUUGUUGCUGGUUUUCAAAAUUUCUAUGCAUGAUCAUCAAGCCAUAGUCUGUCAAAGUAUAUGAUGGUCUGGCAACCCGGCAAACUUCAAACUCACAAAAUAGAAAACAUUUGUUUGGACGAUACAGUAAUUAUACGAAAACACAAUGAUCUCAAUCUCUGUGACCAACUGCACAAACCCAGACAAAAAUAUAAUAUAAUACAUAAACUCAGACAAAAAUAUAACACAAUGAGUUCUGUUUAGUUUCCAGACCAUCAUUUCUUGAUCAAGCUGAGUUUGUAAUGUGGAUAAACUACCACCGUCUUGAUCUGUGCCUGUGGGCUACACUUUUUUGCAUACAGGCUAAAAAUUUCAAUAGUAUGAAAUUAAAACACUGCAAAAAAUUUUGACUCAGAACCGAC